rnacentral:sRNA from 12 species
AAGCAGAGAAACAAACAUUUGAUUCAAGACGCAGAUGUUUGUGGAGCUGAAAAGUAACAAAAGGGUUUGGCAGUUACCUCAACUUGAAUAGGUUUGGAACAGAAUUUCAAUCAAAAGUAAAUAUCAAAA